UACGUAGGUGGCAAGCGUUGUCCGGAUUUAUUGGGUUUAAAGGGUGCGUAGGCGGCUUUAUAAGUCAGUGCUGAAAUAUCCCCGGCUUAACCGGGAGGGUGGCAUUGAUACUGUAGAGCUUGAGUAAAGUUGAGGUUGGCGGAAUUGACGGUGUAGCGGUAGAAAUGCUUAGAUAUCGUCAAGAACACCGAUAGUGAAGACAGCUAACUAAGCUUUAACUGACACUGAGGCACGAAAGCGUGGGGAUCAAACAGG
rnacentral:rRNA from 1 species